GACGAACGCUGGCGGCGUGCCUAAUACAUGCCAGUUGAGCGAUGAAGCUUGGUGCUUGCACCAAUUUGAAGAGCAGCGAACGGGUGAGUAACGCGUGGGGAAUCUGCCUUUGAGCGGGGGACAACAUUUGGAAACGAAUGCUAAUACCGCAUAACAACUUUAAACAUAAGUUUUAAGUUUGAAAGAUGCAAUUGCAUCACUCAAAGAUGAUCCCGCGUUGUAUUAGCUAGUUGGUGAGGUAAAGGCUCACCAAGGCGAUGAUACAUAGCCGACCUGAGAGGAUGAUCGGCCACAUUGGGACUGAGACACGGCCCAAACGCCUACGGGAGGCAGCAGUAGGGAAUCUUCGGCAAUGGACGAAAGUCUGACCGAGCAACGCCGCGUGAGUGAAGAAGGUUUUCGGAUCGUAAAACUCUGUUGGUAGAGAAGAACGUUGGUGAGAGUGGAAAGCUCAUCAAGUGACGGUAACUACCCAGAAAGGGACGGCUAACUACGUG
rnacentral:rRNA from 1 species